rnacentral:rRNA from 1 species
AUUGAACGCUGGCGGCAUGCUUUACACAUGCCAGUCGAACGGUAACAGGCCUUCGGGUGCUGACGAGUGGCGAACGGGUGAGUAAUGCAUCGGAACGUACCCAGAGGUGGGGGAUAACGCAGCGAAAGCUGUGCUAAUACCGCAUGUGAUCUGAGGAUGAAAGCGGGGGACCGAGCAGCAAUGUUUGGCCUCGCGCCUUUGGAGCGGCCGAUGUCGGAUUAGCUAGUUGGUGGGGUAAAGGCCUACCAAGGCGACGAUCCGUAGCUGGUCUGAGAGGACGACCAGCCACACUGGGACUGAGACACGGCCCAGACUCCUACGGGAGGCAGCAGUGGGGAAUUUUGGACAAUGGGCGGAAGCCUGAUCCAGCAAUGCCGCGUGCGGGAAGAAGGCCUUCGGGUUGUAAACCGCUUUUGGCAGGAACGAAACGGUGUCCGCUAAUACCGGGCGCUAAUGACGGUACCUGCAGAAUAAGCACCGGCUAACUACGUG